rnacentral:rRNA from 1 species
GAGUAACAAGGUUUCCGUAGGUGAACCUGCGGAAGGAUCAUUG